CCAAGUCAUAUAAUUAUGACUUAAUGAAUACUUUCUGUUGUUGCUGACGAUGAAAUGCCUUUCAUAUUCAGACUGUAUCUUUCUGUAAACCAGGCCUUCCCAAGUUUCCAGAGUAUUCGUAGACUGACUAAGACAUGAAUAAGUAAAUAUACCAAAG
rnacentral:lncRNA from 10 species